rnacentral:tRNA from 13 species
AAGCACCAGCGAGAUUCGAACUCGCGACCCUGGUUUACGAGACCAGUGCUCUAACCUCUGAGCUAUGGUGGC